rnacentral:rRNA from 1 species
CAAGUCGAACGAGAAAGUGGAGCAAUCCAUGAGUACAGUGGCGUACGGGUGAGUAACACGUGGGUAAUCUACCUCUUAGUGGGGAAUAACCAGGGGAAACUCUGGCUAAUACCGCAUAAGCCUGAGAAGGGAAAGCAGCAAUGCGCUGAGAGAGGAGCCCGCGGCCGAUUAGCUAGUUGGAGGGGUAAAAGCCCACCAAGGCAGAGAUCGGUAGCCGGCCUGAGAGGGCACACGGCCACACUGGCACUGAAACACGGGCCAGACUCCUACGGGAGGCAGCAGUGGGGAAUCUUGCACAAUGGGGGAAACCCUGAUGCAGCGACGCCGCGUGAGCGAUGAAGCCCUUCGGGGUGUAAAGCCCUUUCGUCAGGGACGAUAAUGACGGUACCUGGAGAAGCAGCUGCGGCUAACUACGUGCCAGCAGCCGCGGUAAUACGUAGGCAGCAAGCGUUGUUCGGAGUUACUGGGCGUAAAGGGUGUGUAGGCGGUUCUUUAAGUUUGGUGUGAAACCUCCCGGCUCAACUGGGAGGGUGCGCCGAAUACUGAGGGACUAGAGUACGGGAGAGGAAAGUGGAAUUCCUGGUGUAGCGGUGAAAUGCGUAGAUAUCAGGAGGAACACCGGUGGUGUAGACGGCUUUCUGGACCGUAACUGACGCUGAGACACGAAAGCGUGGGUAGCAAACAGGAUUAGAUACCCUGGUAGUCCACGCCCUAAACGAUGCAUAUUUGGUGUGGGCAGUUCAUUCUGUCCGUGCCGGAGCUAACGCGUUAAAUAUGCCGCCUGGGGAGUACAGUCGCAAGGCUGAAACUCAAAGGAAUUGACGGGGGCCCGCACAAGCGGUGGA